rnacentral:rRNA from 1 species
AAUAUUGGUCAAUGGACGCAAGUCUGAACCAGCCAUGUCGCGUGCAGGAUGACGGCCCUAUGGGUUGUAAACUGCUUUUUUACAGGAAUAAUUGCAGCUACGUGUAGUUGUUUGAAGGUACUGUAGGAAUAAGGAUCGGCUAACUCCGUGCCAGCAGCCGCGGUAAUACGGAGGAUUCGAGCGUUAUCCGGAUUUAUUGGGUUUAAAGGGUCCGUAGGCGGGCCGGUAAGUCAGUGGUGAAAUCCCAGAGCUCAACUCUGGAACUGCCAUUGAUACUGUCGGUCUUGAAUUUUGAGGUGGGCGGAAUACGUUAUGUAGCGGUGAAAUGCAUAGAUAUAACGUAGAACACCGAUUGCGAAGGCAGCUCACUAAACUAACAUUGACGCUGAUGGACGAAAGCGUGGGGAGCGAACAGGAUUAGAUACCCUGGUAGUCCACGCCGUA